UACGAAGGGGGCUAGCGUUGCUCGGAAUUACUGGGCGUAAAGCGCACGUAGGCGGCUUUCUAAGUCGGGGGUGAAAUCCUGGAGCUCAACUCCAGAACUGCCUUCGAUACUGGAGAGCUCGAGUCCGGGAGAGGUGAGUGUAACUGCGAGUGUAGAGGUGAAAUUCGUAGAUAUUCGCAAGAACACCAGUGGCGAAGGCGGCUCACUGGCCCGGUACUGACGCUGAGGUGCGAAAGCGUGGGGAGCAAACAGG
rnacentral:rRNA from 1 species